ensembl:snoRNA
AGGUCAUUUCAAAGAGGACUGAUGGGACCAAAUCCAGGAGCUCUUUACGCUGUGACCAAAGAUUGAGUUCUCCACUGGGUAUAAUAGUAACUUGAUAGUGCUAUGUUUUCCGGAUGGAGAUACAAGC